rnacentral:rRNA from 1 species
ACAAAAACAUAGUUUAAAGAAAAAAAUUUUAGAUAAAUUCUGCUCAAUGAGUAAGUUAAAUAGCUGCAGUAAAUUAACUGUACUAAGGUAGCAUAAUAAGUUGCUUUAUAAUUAAAAGCUUGAAUGAAAGAAAUAAUGUGAAAGAAGCUUUUUAAACUAAAAUAGUGAAAAUUAAUAUUUAAGUGAAAAAUCUUAAAUAGAAUCAAAAGACAAGAAGACCCUUUAGAACUUUACAAAUUGAUUUAAUAUCAUUUAGUUAAUUUGUUAAAUUGGGGAGAUUUUUAAAUAAAUAAAUCUUUAGAUAUAAAAAAAUGAUUUAAAUCAGAUUAAAUUAUCCAAAUGUGAAAUAAAACAAGUUACCUAAGGGAUAACAGCGCAAAAUUUUUGAGAAGUUCUCAUUUACAAAAUAAAUUGCGACCUCGAUGUUGGAUUAGCGAACUAACUUAUAAAGCAAAAUUUGAGUAGAGUCCGGAGUGCGCCGACCUUUU